UACGUAGGGUGCGAGCGUUGUCCGGAAUUAUUGGGCGUAAAGAGCUUGUAGGCGGUCUGUCGCGUCUGCUGUGAAAAUCCGGGGCUCAACCCCGGACUUGCAGUGGGUACGGGCAGACUAGAGUGUGGUAGGGGAGACUGGAAUUCCUGGUGUAGCGGUGAAAUGCGCAGAUAUCAGGAGGAACACCGGUGGCGAAGGCGGGUCUCUGGGCCGAUACUGACGCUGAGGAGCGAAAGCAUGGGUAGCGAACAGG
rnacentral:rRNA from 1 species